UUCCCUGAAAGGAGCGCGGGCAGGGCGCCAGCAUAGAACCGGAGCGGGUGCUGCGGACGCGAGCAGCAAGCUAUAGAGUGUCGCUCCCAGACCCCGCCACCCUCUGGUGGAUGACUUGCAGAUCUUUAUGGGAACUUCGUCUCAGGUCAACUAUAAUUUUAAAAUCCUUUCUUCUGAAGGGACUUAAUAACAACACCACUUCCAUGGCGGAGAGCUGCUCUCUCCCAGCACAGAAAGGCAGAAGCCUGUUCAGCAGAGCCGCUGUAGAACGACAUUCUUUUGCUCCCUGUCCUUCUGCCUCCAUCAAGUUCACUGGACCAAGAUUAACACUUCUUGUCCUUCCUCCCAUCACACCAAAGUCUAAACUCUUAGAAAAUGUAAAAAGGACUUUAGCAGUACAGAUCCUGGAAACACGGCACACUAGUCCGAUAAAACUAAUAAAAUUGUACUGGUUUUGAACAGGAAA